CAGCAGCCACGGUAAUACGAAGGGUGCAAGCGUUACUCGGAAUUACUGGGCGUAAAGCGUGCGUAGGUGGUGGUUUAAGUCCGUUGUGAAAGCCCUGGGCUCAACCUGGGAAUUGCAGUGGAUACUGGGUCACUAGAGUGUGGUAGAGGAUAGUGGAAUUUCCGGUGUAGCAGUGAAAUGCGUAGAGAUCGGAAGGAACAUCUGUGGCGAAGGCGACUAUCUGGGCCAACACUGACACUGAGGCACGAAAGCGUGGGGAGCAAACAGGAUUAGAUACCCCCGAGUCCCUGUCUCUUAUACA
rnacentral:rRNA from 1 species